rnacentral:misc_RNA from 1 species
AUUUCCUCUCCCCUGUUUCCUUUGGUCUCCGGUUGCUCUGUCCGCCGUGAAAACCCUAGCUUUCUCCUCCCUUCUCACAGAUCCGAACGCGAAUUCCACAAGUUAUAUAGAACAGUUAAACGGCGGCAAUGGUCACGGCGACGAUGGUGAGUUCGGCAGGUGGUUUAUUGGCGAUGCUGAAUGAGAGCCAUCCGCAGUUGAAGCUACACGCUCUAUCCAAUCUCAACACCUUUGUUGAUUACUUUUGGCCUGAGAUCUCUACCUCUGUCCCUGUCAUUGAAAGCUUGUAUGAGGAUGAAGAGUUUGACCAAAGACAAUUAGCUGCAUUAGUUGCUUCAAAGGUUUUCUAUCAUUUGGGUGAACAUAACGUCUCAUUGUCCUACGCCCUUGGAGCUGGUCCUCUUUUUGACGUUGCUGAGGAUUCUGACUAUGUUCAUACAGUUCUUGCUAAAGCCCUGGAUGAGUAUGCAAGCUAUAAGAUCAAGGCAGCAGAGUCAAGUGACGAAGCCACAAAGGUGGAUCCCAGGCUGGAGGCUAUUGUGGAGAGAAUGCUUGAUAAGUGUAUAAAGGAUGGAAAAUAUCAACAAGCCAUUGGCAUGGCCAUUGAAUGCCGAAGGCUGGAUAAGGUUGCCGAAGCAAUUGUAAGGAGUGAUAAUGUUGAUGCCACUCUAGCAUAUUGCAGUAAUGUCUCCCAUAACUUCGUCAAUCGUAGAGAAUAUCGUAGUGAGGUGCUUCGUCUUCUUGUGGAAGUGUAUGAGAAGUCGCCAUCUCCAAACUAUUUGAGCAUGUGCCAGUGGCUUAUGUUUUUGGAUAAACCAGAGGAUGUAGCAAGCAUAUUGGAAAAGCUGCUAAGAUCAGAAAAUAAGGAUGAUGCUCUAUUGGCAUUUCAAAUAGCUUUUGACCUUGUAGAGAAUGAGCACCAAGCUUUUCUCUUGAGGGUAAGAGACCGGCUUUCCAGCCCAAAUCUACAACCUUCAGACACGGUACAGUCGUUACCUGCAGAUUCUGAUCGAGCAGCGACUGAAGAUGACGAAGCUUCAGAGGAUGUUCCGCUGUUAGAGGAAAGUAGACCUUUAGGUGGAACAUUAACAGCUGCAGAUCCAAAAGAAGUUAUUUAUGCUGAAAGGUUGGGAAAAUUGAAAGGAAUUCUAUCAGGGGAGACCUCAAUACAGUUGACUUUGCAAUUCUUAUACAGCCAUAACAAGUCAGAUCUCCUUAUUCUUAAAACAAUAAAGCAGUCUGUUGAGAUGAGAAAUAGUGUCUGUCACAGUGCAACGAUAUAUGCGAAUGCAAUCAUGCAUGCUGGAACAACUGUGGAUACAUUCCUCAGG